rnacentral:rRNA from 1 species
GUGGGGGAUUUCAAUGAAAUUCUUUAUCCUUCAGAAAAAGAAGGUGGUAAUGCGAGACCAAAUGGAAUGAGGGACUUCCGUGAAUGCCUAAUGGACUGUGGGUUGGAGGAUUUGGGUUAUAUUGGUGACCAUUUCACUUGUAGAAGAGGUGACGUACAUGAGCGCCUGGAUCGGGCUGUUUGCAAUAUUAGUUGGGCGCACAAAUUUCCUUGAGCAGUGGUGAUCAAUGAAGAGCAUGUUCACUCUGACCAUCGUCCGCUGGUCCUGGAUAUGGAUUAUUUGGAUGAUAAGAUCUUCAACAGACCGAAGAGCCGUGUGAAACAAUUCAAAGCUAGGUGGUUAAAGGAAGAGACAGUCACUGAGAUUGUCAAGGCAUCAUGGGAGAAAGCAAAGCUAUCAUGUAUUGGCCUUUCUCUUGCUGACCGAAUGAGAGCUGUCCAGGCCGAUUUGCAUUCUUGGGACAGUGAAAUUCUAAGGGGCCCAAAGCAGAGAAUAAAUAAAUUAAAAAAUGAGUUAGAGAGACUGAAGCGUGGCCCUUUGAAUACGGAAUCCCGUGGGCGGUAG